GACGAACGCUGGCGGCGUGCUUAACACAUGCAAGUCGAACGAAGUGGCGAACGGGUGAGUAACGCGUAAUCAACCUGCCCUUCAGAGGGGGACAACAGUUGGAAACGACUGCUAAUACCGCAUACUGAAGGAGGGGAUUGAGUCUGAUUAGCUAGUUGUAGGGGUAACGGCCCACCAAGGCGAUGAUCAGUAGCCGGUCGUAGAGGCUGAACGGCCACAUUGGGACUGUGACCCGGCCCCGAUCACUACGGGAGGCAGCAGUGGGGAAGCUUCCGCAAUGGACGAAAGUCUGACGGAGCAACGCCGCGUGAGUGAUGACGGCCUUCGGGUUGUAAAGCUCUGUUAAUCGGGACGCGGUACCGGAAUAGAAAGCCACUGCUAACUACGUGCCAGCAGCCGCGGUAAUUC
rnacentral:rRNA from 1 species